ACAGUGUGUGUGCUUGUUUUUGUUUCUGUGUAUGUUUGAGGAGAUGUUGGGUUGUUGUAUGGGUCAUAGAGCCAAUUACCUGAAAGUACAUGGAAGGCUUUUUGGUGAAGAGAAGGAACAGAAAAUAGAAUGUUUGAAACAGUCGUUCUUUUGGAGGUAUGCAGAAGAAAGGCCAAGAGAAGAGGUCUUUUGUGACAGAGCCUUCUUCCGUAAGGAGAUGUAUGAAUAAUUCAGUGUCAGGAUUUCCCAAGAGAUUGUGUCAAAUGUUGAAUGAAGAUCUACAAAAGCCACCAAUAAUUUUCCUGACAAUAAUUUGCAAUAUUUUUGACAACUUGAAAGGGGGUCAGGCAAUGAUCCAGUGUGGAAGAACUUUCCUUAAAGCCAAUCUGUUCCAUACCAAUAAUGUUAGAAAACUUAACUGAGUCUCUCAACUUAAUAGCAAGAUAAGAAGCAUACAUUUCCCCAAUAACAGAAAGCAGGUUUAUAGGACGAUAGUUAUUAGAGUCAGACCUUGUGCUUAGGGUAGUGAUAAUAAUAACUCUGCUCCAUAAAGAAGGAAUAUUCCCAGAAUUGGUAAUCAGUGAGAAGCGAUUAGCUAAUAGAGGGCCCACCAAUCCAGAUUUCACUUCAGGACCUCAGAUGGGAUACCAACUGAACUGGGACUGGCUGUGCAGGCCUUGGCCCAGUGUCUGGAUGCAGUAGUGGGCUCAAUAAGAGCUAACAAACUGAGCCUGAAUCCUGGCAAGACAGAGGCUCUGUGGUGAGUUGUUCCUACAUCCAGGAGGUAAACCAGUUGUCUGACCUAGAUGGGCUUGCGCUCUCCCUGAAGGAGCAGUCUGGGGUGUUUCUAGAACCAGCAGUGCCGCUGAAGGCACAGGUGGCCUCAGUGGCUAGGAGUGUA